rnacentral:rRNA from 1 species
AUUGAACGCUGGCGGCAGGCCUAACACAUGCAAGUCGAGCGGAUGAAGGGAGCUUGCUCCUGGAUUCAGCGGCGGACGGGUGAGUAAUGCCUAGGAAUCUGCCUGGUAGUGGGGGAUAACGUCCGGAAACGGGCGCUAAUACCGCAUCCGUCCUGAGGGAGAAAGUGGGGGAUCUUCGGACCUCACGCUAUCAGAUGAGCCUAUGUCGGAUUAGCUAGUUGGUGGGGUAAAGGCCUACCAAGGCGACGAUCCGUAACUGGUCUGAGAGGAUGAUCAGCCACACUGGAACUGAGACACGGUCCAGACUCCUACGGGAGGCAGCAGUGGGGAAUAUUGGACAAUGGGCGAAAGCCUGAUCCAGCCAUGCCGCGUGUGUGAAGAAGGUCUUCGGAUUGUAAAGCACUGUAAGUUGGGAGGAAGGACAGUAAGUUAAUACCUUGCUGCUUUGACGUUACCAACAGAAUAAGCACCGGCUAACUUCGUA